AGUGGCGGACGGGUGAGUAACGCGUGAGAAUCUACCUUCAGGACGGGGACAACAGCUGGAAACGGCUGCUAAUACCCGAUAUGCCGAAAGGUGAAAAGUUUUUUCGCCUGGAGAGGAGCUCGCGUCCGAUUAGCUAGUUGGUGAGGUAAAAGCUUACCAAGGCGACGAUCGGUAGCUGGUCUGAGAGGAUGAGCAGCCACACGGAACUGAGACACGGUCCAGACUCCUACGGGAGGCAGCAGUGGGGAAUUUUCCGCAAUGGGCGAAAGCCUGACGGAGCAACGCCGCGUGGGGGAAGAAGGUUUUUGGAUUGUAAACCCCUUUUCUCAAGGAAGAACAAAAUGACGGUACUUGAGGAAUCAGCCUCGGCUAACUCCGUGCCAGCAGCCGCGGUAAUACGGAGGAGGCAAGCGUUAUCCGGAAUUAUUGGGCGUAAAGCGUUCGUAGGCGGCUGUUCAAGUCUGCUGUCAAAGACCGAGGCUCAACCUCGGGUAGGCAGUGGAAACUGGAUAGCUAGAGGUCGGUAGGGGCAGAGGGAAUUCCCAGUGUAGCGGUGAAAUGCGUAGAUAUUGGGAAGAACACCGGUGGCGAAAGCGCUCUGCUGGGCCGAACCUGACGCUGAGGGACGAAAGCUAGGGGAGCGAAUGGGAUUAGAUACCCC
rnacentral:rRNA from 1 species